rnacentral:rRNA from 1 species
UACGAAGGGGGCUAGCGUUGCUCGGAAUCACUGGGCGUAAAGCGCACGUAGGCGGAUUGCUAAGUCAGGGGUGAAAUCCUGGAGCUCAACUCCAGAACUGCCUUUGAUACUGGCGAUCUCGAGUCCGGGAGAGGUGAGUGGAACUGCGAGUGUAGAGGUGAAAUUCGUAGAUAUUCGCAAGAACACCAGUGGCGAAGGCGGCUCACUGGCCCGGUACUGACGCUGAGGUGCGAAAGCGUGGGGAGCAACAGGA